AUUUCCGCCGCCACGCCACGCGCACCUCGGCCAAGGACAAGGCUCCGGCUGCCGCCACCGCCUCUGCCCCGGCUAUAAGCCGCGCCCUUUGGCCGGCCCGCUCCUCCUCCUCCUCGCUUCGCCCGGGCCGUGCCUUCCUCCUCCUCGCCGCGCCCUGCCCGGUCCGCUCCUCCUCCUCUUCGUCCAGGCGGUGCCUCUCUCCUCCGACCUCCCCGCCGCACUCCGGCUGGUCCGCUGCUCCUCCACCCUUCGCCCGGGCCGGGUGUAUGUCCUCCUCGAGCCGGAUUUCAUCUUGCUCGUCCUCCUCGAUCAAUUUCCCCCUCUAGAAUCGCGUCCGGAUUUGAUUUUGCUCGCCCUCGCCCUCGCCGGUUUACAUAGAUAGAAAUCCCGCCUGAUUUGAUUUUGCUCGUUCUCGCCGUCGUCCGUCUAGAACCGCGUCCGAUUUGAUUUUGCUCGUGCUCAUUUCGUCAGUUUAGAGUCGCUUCCGAGUUGAUUUUGCGCGUCCCCGCCGUCGUCGGUCUAGAGUCGCUUCUGAUUUGGUUCUGCUCGUCCUCGCCGUCGUCCGUUUUUGCUCGUCCUUGCCGUUUGCCCCGGCGCGCUCGCAUGUUCUUGGUCCGUCUCGUCGAGGGUGUUCGUCUGGUUUGCGGUUCAGAAAUCUCUGCGUGCGCUUCUGUUGUCCGAGCGACACCUUGGAUCCCCGCGUUUCGUGUUCGUGUCAGCGCGAGCGUUACAGGAACGGUAGGGUCUUGGUUUUGAAAUUAGGUUACGGCCGGAGAUGGAGAGGCGGAGAGCAAUUGUCAGUAUGUCGUGCUAGUUCAGAUCGGUUCAUAGGCUCCUGCGUUGUUCGUCGGUUGUUGUCUGAUCUCAAACGCCUAGCUUGUUCGUGUUAGCCUAGAUACUCUGUUUCACUUUCGUCAGGCUAGAUGCAGGGGUGAUUUUGUUCUGAUGGGUGUUAAUGCUUCUGUUCUUUUCAAUUGGUUACUUCCUAUCAUGCUUUGCUUAUGUUCCAUAUAUGGUGAUGUGUGUUCAGGGGUGCAAACCAUGUAGGCCGUGGGUGCCAUUUCCAGCAGGCAGCAGAGCAGAAAGUAGUGCAAAUCAUGUGGCUGCUGCUUGACAUUGAACACCUGCUGCUGCUACUGCUGGACAAGGUUUCCUUCUUUUGUUCCUCAUGUUGCUAUUUCCAUUUUCAUAUUGGAGUACUAGAUGGGGUGCCUCAGACUUUGUUCUAGAUUGCAUAGCAUAACUCCAGAAUUUUGUCAUUACACACCUGAGCAUAAUUCCAGAGUUUAUUUAUCUGUGAAAGCACGCUCAUCACACGUUUCUUAUCAAUGCUGCUCACUUUUGUCAUGUCCCGUUUGUUUGUCCUGUUAAAUUUUAUGGAGCAAAUUUUGUACUCACUGGUUAAAAUAUCAAGAAUGCUGACUUUUGUAUUUGUCUCUAUGUAAGCCAUGCACUUGGGAAGCCUGGGCGUGAUUAGGAUUUGGAUUGCAUAUAGAUUUUAUGCUAUGUUUGUUUAUAACCUGGUUGUGACCUAAUAUAGUGUAAAUCUGCUAAUUUUUUUAUUUAAUUUGUGUUCAAUGCAAGUAGGUUUUGUUCGUAAGUGGUAUUUCUUUUGCGUGUGCAUGAACAUUCAUGCUGUCAAUUUUUCUUAUCAUAAUCAUUUACCGUGGUGUUUGACAAUACAUUUCUAGAGUUCUUUGUUCCCUUUUGAGGUUCCCUGACUCAAUUAUGCAUGAGAUAUGAUAUCAAUUACUGUUGUCCAGUCGCUGAAAUAAUGCUUUUCUUGCUUUGCCUAGACCUUGUUGCAAGAAUAAGCAUGUGUCUCUGUGCCUACAAACUUGUGGGUAGUGCCGUAGUGAUGAUGAUCUAACUAGCUUCCUGUUUUCAGGAAUGAAGAUCUGAAUUACCCUCACCCCUCUACAGAAAUCAGUUUACUCAUUCAGUUUCUGGAACUUCUUUAUAUUAGCUUUAUUUUUGUACCCUUAUCUAUGUCUGUUUCUGUUUCCUUGUGUGUUUCUUGUGUGCAAGCGAUCCAUUGUGUGUGUCUGAUUGUGUGUCUGUCUGACUGUAUGUGUGAUGUGCCCCUAUCUAUGUAUGUUUCUUUGUCUGUUUCAUGUGUGCAAACACUCCAUUGUCUGCGUGUGACUGUUUGACUGCUUAGAUGGGGUGAUGAUUCUGAUUGUGUUACUGAUUGUAUGAUCUGUCCAAUUGGUUUCUUCUUCAUGCUUUGCUUGUGUUCCAAUGUCGUCUCCCCAUAUAUGGGGAUCUGUUCAAGGAUGCAAACCAUGUAGGCCGUUUCGAGCAGGCAGGGAUCCAGAGACAUGCACUGGUCAGGCUUCUCUCCUGCUGAUAGAUGAUGAUAGGCUGAGCAGAAAAGUUUGAUUCUUGUAACACUCACUUGCUUGGCUUCCACUCCUUUGCGUGGCCGAUUUGGCAUCCAAUGCAUCCCAUGCCCUUUUCCCUGUUUAUCUCACUCACUCAUCACAGCACCCUUUUCCCUGCUUUUGUUCCUUAUUUUUCUUAUCAUAAUAAUCAUGUUUACCGUGGUGUUUGACAAUACAUUUUUUGUGAUAUCUGUGUUUGACAAUAAUUAUGUUCUUUUUUUGGUAUUACUGAUGUCCGAUCACUGGAAUAAUGCUUCUGUAAGUAUUUCAGGUAGGAUAUAGACAAAUGUCACAUUUGCUCUUCCUUGCAUUGCUGAGGACACUGAUGGGUUGGGUUUGCUUACAGCGCAGGACAGAUAAUUCUAUAAAGAAUCAUUGGAAUAUUUCUUUGAGAAAGAAGAUAGAUAUCUAUGGCACCAGAAAUAUUUUGGCAAUUCCAAGACUAAUUGCCUUGAUGACUUCAAGUAUAAACAAAAGACGGCUGCUUCUGAGGGCCAUCUUGACCUGAACAACUCAUCAUUCUAAUUUUAGCUCACCUCUACAGUCAUACAAACUGGCACGCCAAUGCUCCGGGUUCCUAUUGCUUUCUGUUAGCCCAACUAAGGUUCAUCUUGUGACACAAAAUACAAUUUUGGUACGUGCAGACUCUGAAAUUUGGUGAUAAAGAAAAGAAUCCAGGGUGGAUGGAGGUUUUCAUGAUGGCUAAUUUGAUUUGUUAUGGUUCUGAUGGUGUGCUUCUUGUGUUUGAACUGAAGCCGUGGAUCACUCAUCAACCUGGUCUGUGUUUGUAUGUGUGGUGAGCUCACAUAUUGUGUCAGUAUCUACCUACGCAGCUGAAUUAUUUCCGGAUAGGACAGAGGUGCAAUGUUUACAUCCAUGGUAGAAGGUUCUUUAACACUGAACUCAUCAAAGGUCCUUGGACUCAAGAGGAAGAUGAAAAAAUUAUUGACCUUGUAAACAAGUAUGGAUUAACAAAAUGGUCGCAUUGUAAGGUCAGCUACCAGAACUUCCUGCUGCUGAUCCUAGGAUGUUUCCGAACAUGUUCAAUUUGUCCGCCCUAGGACAGCCACUGCCAUGACACAGCAGGUUACUCGGCAUGCUCUGCGUGUUUACUUUGGUGGACUUCCUCCGAUCGCUAAUGAACAGACGGUUGCUCUAUUCUUCAAUCAAGUUCUGGCUGCUAUCGGGGGAAACACAUUUGGUCUAGGUGGCAUAAUCAUCUGAAUCCAAACAUAUGGAAUGAUGCUUGGACUACUGAGGAGGAACAUGCACUGAUUAAUGCCAUCAAAUAUAUGGGAAUAAAUGAGCAGAAAUAGCAAAAGUUAUUCCUGGAAGACGUGAUAGAGCUCAAUUGGUGGCACUCGUAGGCUUUGAAGAGGACGUUGCGAGCUCGAGCCCAUGAUACGCCAACCUUUUUUUCACUCCCUGGGAAGCCAGCCACGUUGAGACUUUUGGCCCAGGUGACCUACAAAACGGGCUCAGGCUCAGGCUCAGGCUCCAAGCGAUGUGUGAAACGAUUUUUAA